rnacentral:ncRNA from 1 species
CUCAUAAGUUAUUUAUAAAGAGCAAUCACUAGCAGGACGGUGGCCAUGGAAGUCGGAAUCCGCUAAGGAGUGUGUAACAACUCACCUGCCGAAUCAACUAGCCCUGAAAAUGGAUGGCGCUGGAG